UACGAAGGGGGCUAGCGUUGCUCGGAAUCACUGGGCGUAAAGGGUGCGUAGGCGGGUCUUUAAGUCAGGGGUGAAAUCCUGGAGCUCAACUCCAGAACUGCCUUUGAUACUGAAGAUCUUGAGUUCGGGAGAGGUGAGUGGAACUGUGAGUGUAGAGGUGAAAUUCGUAGAUAUUCGCAAGAACACCAGUGGCGAAGGCGGCUCACUGGCCCGAUACUGACGUUGAGGCACGAAAGCGUGGGGAGCAAACAGG
rnacentral:rRNA from 1 species